GACGAACGCUGGCGGCGUGCCUAAUACAUGCAGGUCGAGCGCAGGAAAUCGACGGAACCCUUCGGGGGGAAGUCGACGGAAUGAGCGGCGGACGGGUGAGUAACACGUAAAGAACCUGCCCUCAGGUCUGGGAUAACCACGAGAAAUCGGGGCUAAUACCGGAUGGGUCAUCGGACCGCAUGGUCCGAGGAUGAAAGGCGCUUCGGCGUCGCCUGGGGAUGGCUUUGCGGUGCAUUAGCUAGUUGGUGGGGUAAUGGCCCACCAAGGCGACGAUGCAUAGCCGACCUGAGAGGGUGAUCGGCCACACUGGGACUGAGACACGGCCCAGACUCCUACGGGAGGCAGCAGUAGGGAAUCUUCCACAAUGGACGAAAGUCUGAUGGAGCAACGCCGCGUGAACGAUGAAGGCCUUCGGGUCGUAAAGUUCUGUUGUAGGGGAAGAACAAGUGCCGCAGGCAAUGGCGGCACCUUGACGGUACCUUGCGAGAAAGCCACGGCUAACUACGUGCCAGCAGCCGCAGUAA
rnacentral:rRNA from 1 species